rnacentral:rRNA from 1 species
UACGUAGGGGGCAAGCGUUGUCCGGAUUUAUUGGGCGUAAAGAGCGUCUAGGCGGCUUUACAGGUCCGUUGUGAAAACUCGAGGCUCAACCUCGAGACGCCGGUGGAAACCGUAAGGCUAGAGUCCGGAAGAGGAGAGUGGAAUUCCUGGUGUAGCGGUGAAAUGCGCAGAUAUCAGGAAGAACACCUAUGGCGAAGGCAGCACUCUGGGACGGUACUGACGCUGAGACGCGAAAGCGUGGGGAGCGAACAGG